rnacentral:lncRNA from 10 species
UUAGCCGGCAUGGUGGUGCAUGCCUGUAGUCCCAGCUACUCUAGAGGCCGAGGUGGGAGAAUUGCUUGAACCCAGGAGGCAGAGGUUGCAGUGAGCCAGGAUCCCACCACUGCACUCCAGCCUAGGCAACAGAGCAAGACUGCAUAUCACAAAAAGAAAAAAAAAGGCAUAUGACAACAAAUGCACAAAAAACUGAGGACACAUAAAAGGAAUUAAAAUACUAUUAAGGGUUGCGUACAGUGGCUUACGCCUGUAAUCACAGUACUUUGGGAGGCUGAGACAGGAGGAUCAUCUGAGACCAAGAGUUUGAGACCAGCCUGGCCAACACAGUGAGACCCCCAUCUCUAAAAUAAAACAAAUUAGCCGGGCAUGGUGGUGUGUACCCGUAGUCCUACCUACCCAAGAGGCUGAAGUAGGAGAAUUGCUUGAGCCCAGGAGUUUGAGGUUGCAGUGAGCUAUGAUCACACCACUGCACUCCAGCCUGGGUGAUGCAGUGAGACCUUGUCUCUAAAAAUAAAUGAAUACAUUUUUUAAAGAUUCUAUUAAGAUCCGGCCG